GGCAAUUGGAGAACUCCCCUCUUUUGAACUGUCACGCCCCUUUCAUUAUGAGUCUCAUGCUCAUUUGCAGCCAUGCUUUCAAUCAACUCAUAGGCCUCGUCAGCAGUCUUUCUCUUGAUAUUGCCUCUAGUUGAGGCAUCCAACAUAAGCUUGGACUGUGUACCAAGACCUCCAAGGAAUGUGAGAACCAAUGUCGUCUCAUGAAAACCGUGUACAGGCAUCUUUCUUAUCAAACCUUUGAAUCUGUCCCAUGCCUGACCUAGAGUUUCCUCCAUGC
rnacentral:lncRNA from 1 species